CUCCUCGUGUGACACGGGGGCGCUGGACGCGGCAGGCCCGGCACUGACUGCGGGAGGCCGAGAAGAUGUAGCUGUCUUGGCCUGACCGUCGUGACCACCAGGCCCGAGCACGUGCUGGACAGGCUCCGCCCCGCGCGCAGCCGAGACCCGCCAGCUGUCCCAAGUGCUUUAACAAGUCAAGUCAGUCCCGAGGCCGCCGCGACCAUUGGGGCACCUUCGAUGCUGUAACUACCCUCCUCCACACUGCAUGAGGUUAGCUGAGUUGCUUUGCAGCAUUGAUGAUUCUUCGAGCAAAAUGACCCGGUGGUGCCCAUCUCCUCUCCAGGUAUGGAUGGCCGUUGGCUCGCAGGGAGCUGGGUGUCCACACACCUUCCUCACCCAGGCUAGCCCAGGUGGGGGCACCAGUUUAGUCACUGACAACCAAACCAUGGAUCAGGCUGUACUGGUUUACAUGGCACCAAAUAGCAGACUAAGACAGGCCUGCCUGACAAUAGCUUUAAAGACAGAUGAGUAUUCUCAUCCCAGUCCAAUAAUGUCAUUCAUAUCUGUGGCAGAAAUUAGAGAUGUCAGAUAUGCUGACAUCCAUGACUGAGGCCUGGGUGUGGAAAUGACUGAGAAACACCAUGUUAAAUAUACUGAUAAAUACCAUUACUGUUCAAAAUGGACUAUUGGGAACAAUUCUAGACCUUGGAAUUAGUCUUUGCUUAUAUCUCUUACCAUUAUAAUUUCUUUAUCCAUUAUAGUGCUGAUGUGUUUUAAGGACGUGCCUGAUUCCCAAAGGGAAGAAAACAAAAAAACAAAGUUCUUAACAGCAUGUUAUCAGAGUUCUUUCAGUGUGGGUUCAGGAUAACUACAGCAAAUCGUGAAUGGCAAGGCAACUAAUGAGAUGUGCAGAUCACCCUAAAACUGGUCCAAUAAAACCUCCAGCUCACAGCCACAUGUAUUAAACCAAGCCCAAUAAAGCACUUCAGCAUGUGCUCAGUAAUUUGCUGGAUCCAAUAUAUUUAUUCAAUAAUUUAUGGACCAAAUCAUACAACUAUUUCAAAACCAUAUUCUCUUAAUACCAGGAGUCCAAUUAACUUUAACCAGUAUAUUAGUAUAAACUUUAAAAAUGUUGCUGUAGCUUUUUCAUAAAGUACCCCAAAACUCCCAAUUUCUUAAGACCUUCAUGGCAAGGAGCAAGUGUGUUGUGUCUCACUAGAAAGCCACUAAACUCCCCUCUCUAGUAUUAUAAAACUUCCACUUCUCAGCACCCAUCGGGGCUAAAUAUUAUAACUUAAACCCAUCACUGAUAAGUGAUUGGAGAGAGAGAAAUACUUUGGCAGGUUGUUUAAAAAUAAUUCCUGUUUGAGAUAAUUGUACUUUGGAAGGUUAGAAGGCUGUGACAGUAUAGCAUAUGUGGAGAGCAUACACAUGAGAAAUGUAUUUUAUCACAUAGAUGUUACCACCUCAUCUAUCAUAAUUUUAACCAUCUGGAGAGAUCUGCUGAAACAUGGUAAAUCCUUACUCAGUUGUAAUGUGCUUUGCUGUUGCCUGUGUAGAUGAGGCGCAUGAAUAUGUUACUAUGCUGAAAUCCUUUAAAGACAUGUAUACACUUUAUAAUGGCCUUAAUGCAAAACAUUCUAUUUGCAACUUUACCAGAAAGAUAUUUUAAGUGUGACCUGUUUUUCCCUCAGUUUUAGCAGGUAUAUUUUAUACUCAUACCAGUUUUAAACAUAAUAAAUGUUCUAACCGAG